rnacentral:lncRNA from 1 species
AAUUUCUAUCAUUUUAGAUCAAGAAUUACAAAAUCCGAGCCUAGACCAGGGAAAAGCAAAAUAAGUGGACUAAGCUGAACUAGUCAUCCACAUUUUGUAAUCCGAGGUAAGUUGUAUGUAAAUAAUGCAACUAUAAUGUUAUUAUAUGUGUUUGAAUUGAUAUAGCAUAAAUUUCUUGUUUGUGGAAAUGAUUAUGUAUGAUGAAUAUUGAGAUAGUAGAACUUGCGUUCAUACCUUAGGAAAUU